rnacentral:lncRNA from 1 species
UCCAGUUUCAACUCAGUGUCAAAAAUAUUACCCCUGUUUAAGAUUAAUUUGUGACAAAAUGUCAUAUUAAUACAGCUAUAUUUCCCAGGGGAUAAAUAUGGCCUUUUGAAGAGCAGCCAUGGCUGAGUGCUAUAUAGGACUACAGAGAAUUAUCAACAGGCUUUUGCUUUAGCAAAUGUCAUGCUACCAGAAGAAUGGUGCAGUUUGUGGUGGCAUCCAGCCAGUGCCCUCUCAUGAGGAAGAAUCAAUUUGCAAAGUAUCAAGUCCUUGGGCUCUGCUGAGGAGAGGUGACCACCCAUGAAAACCACUGACAUGAAAAGAAUGCAAGUCUGAAUACAGACCAGCACAACUUGUGGCUUGGACAACAAAAGCCUUGGACCACAAGGACUUCGGAUACCUGGAAAAACAUGGAGAGAGCGUGGGGACAGCUG